rnacentral:tRNA from 1 species
GUUUCGGUAGCACGGUGGUUAAUGCACAGCCCCGGAAAGGUUGAGACGUGGGUUCGAUUCCCGCCUGGGAUG